UGCAUGUAUAACUCCUAUAGAAUGAUUUAUCGGAUAUCUCUCAAGUGACCAUGACUAUAAGUCAAUACUUUCCUAUGUUAAAUUUAUUUCCCAAGAGAAAUGUUAGCUGGAGCAAGAGGAAAUGAUCAAUGAUAGCCUUAAACCUGAAUAUAAUGGGUUUGUUGUUGGUGUGAGUGGUUGCCCAACUCAACCACCUUUAGUCGAGUUGGAGAAUUUAUUAGUUAACCAAGAGGAGUUAGCCAAGGAAAUGGGCAACAUCAUAGUAAAGAAAGAAUAUAAGACCUCAUAAUAAAGGAAGAGUCAUUUAGGAGACAGCAAAUACCCAAGCCAAAAUAGGUAGAAGGUGACAAGUAUCAUACAAAACAAAAAGUCCUUCAGGGGAGCAAGAGAAAGAGUUGAAUAAAAAAACUAUGUGGUAAGAAUGGUCAUUUUGCUCAAGAA
rnacentral:lncRNA from 7 species